rnacentral:rRNA from 1 species
CCUACGGGAGGCAGCAGUGGGGAAUAUUGGACAAUGGGCGCAAGCCUGAUCCAGCAAUGCCGCGUGAGUGAUGAAGGCCUUAGGGUCGUAAAGCUCUUUUACCAGGGAUGAUAAUGACAGUACCUGGAGAAUAAGCUCCGGCUAACUCCGUGCCAGCAGCCGCGGUAAUACGGAGGGAGCUAGCGUUGUUCGGAAUUACUGGGCGUAAAGCGUACGUAGGCGGUUAUUCAAGUCAGAGGUGAAAGCCCGGGGCUCAACCCCGGAACGGCCUUUGAAACUAGGUAGCUAGAAUCUUGGAGAGGUCAGUGGAAUUCCGAGUGUAGAGGUGAAAUUCGUAGAUAUUCGGAAGAACACCAGUGGCGAAGGCGACUGACUGGACAAGUAUUGACGCUGAGGUACGAAAGCGUGGGGAGCAAACAGGAUUAGAUACCCUGGUAGUCCACGCCGUAAACGAUGAUAACUAGCUGUUCGGGCACUUGGUGCUUGAGUGGCGCAGCUAACGCAUUAAGUUAUCCGCCCGGUAGGGUACGGUCGGCGAGAGUAAACUUAAACAACGAAAGUAGUAGGAACGUGUGAGAGUCGACGACGACGACGACGGAGGAGGAG